GGGGGUGCACUGGUUUCGACGGGGGUCGCGAAGUCGCUUGGCGCAUGCCGAGGGGGCAGCUUUCCUCGUAAAUCCAGCCGCAAACUUAUAGUUGCCAACGACGACAACUACGCUCUGGCCGCUUAAGGCCUAAGCCCCGAAAUCGCUUGUGUCCGUGCUCGCGACGUAGGGUCAUCAUCACGGAACCGCCUGUGGUGGCUGCCUGUCAGCCAUGGGUUAAAUAAAGCGGGCUGGCUCCGGGAUGCGCUUUGCACAUCGUGCUGUCCCGGGGCGAGAUUCAACGGUGAGCUAAGCAUGUAGUGCCGGGGAUGGAGAGCCUUCGGACGGCGGUUCGAUUCCGCCCACCUCCACCA
rfam:Stenotrophomonas panacihumi strain JCM 16536 contig_28, whole genome shotgun sequence.